CUCAGUUCGGAUCGGAGUCUGCAACCCGACUCCGUGAAGCUGGAUUCGCUAGUAAUCGCGCAUCAGCCAUGGCGCGGUGAAUACGUUCCCGGGCCUUGUACACACCGCCCGUCAAGCCAUGGGAGCCGGGGGUGCUUGAAGUGCGUCGCCGCAAGGCGCGCCCUAGAGCAAAACCGGUGACUGGGGCUAAGUCGUAACAAGGUAAC
rnacentral:rRNA from 1 species